rnacentral:rRNA from 1 species
UACGGGGGGAGCAAGCGUUGUUCGGAUUUACUGGGCGUAAAGGGCGCGUAGGCGGCCAGCACAAGUCAGUUGUGAAAUCUCCGAGCUUAACUCGGAAAGGUCAACUGAUACUGUGCGGCUAGAGUGCGGAAGGGGCAACUGGAAUUCUUGGUGUAGCGGUGAAAUGCGUAGAUAUCAAGAGGAACACCUGCGGCGAAGGCAGCUCGCUGGGACGGAACUGACGCUAAGGCGCGAAAGCGUGGGGAGCGAACAGG